AUUUAGAGUUGUGCAUUAACGUUAUAUUCUAUAAUACAGUAAAACCAUAUGGCAAUGCACCAAAUACAGAUUUAAGACAUGAGUUGAUUGGUUUUUUAAAUAUUCCUAUCAAUUCCCAUUCACAAACAGUAGUGCGAUAAAAAUAAUCAUAGUUAUUAUUUUUUACAGGGCGAAAGGGAACAUGAAAAAGAUGGGAAUGUCCCUGGAUAUAGGCAGCUCCAGAGAGGGAGACAGUCUGUCCUUGAAUCAUUACUAUUAUCCCUGCACAAUUUUCUUGGAUUUGGAGAAAGCUAUAGAUUUAUAAUGCUUAAGUCUUGGCCAAUAUGACAACAAUGGGAACAGAAACAUCAACAUGCCUGACCAUUGCUUUCAAAAUAUGUAUCUGUACUGAUAAGAACAUAAGACAAUUAUGGGAAGGUGGUGAUCCAAACUUUCAAAAAAACUCAGAUUAAGAAAUACUUUUACCAUUAACAUUUAAGUAAUACUAUUCUGUAGUUAUGGAAAUGUGUGAUUACUAAAAAAAAGAAAAAAAAAAGAAAAAAAGAGGGAGACUGACAUAGUGAAUUUGCUUUACAUUUAUUGGUAGCAUUUUAUUGCUUGUAUUUUAAUGUAAUCAUGUAAUAUAUAGUCUUCAUAGCAUAAUAUGAAUGCUUUUAAGCUGGGCCUUUCAGACAUUAUGACAAAGUUAGCAAGGUCACGUCAUCAUCAGUAAAGUUUCUAGAAUACAGAAGCAUUAAUUGCUUUGGUUGAUUUAAAAAUAAAGUGAUUAAUUUUGCUCUCCAAUUUCCUACCUGUGUGCACCUCAGUUAUUAGUAUGUGUUGGCAUAUUGUCCUCUAAUCAAAUUUUUCAAGCCAUCUUUAUUAAGAAGUCAGUAAAACAACGUAUUGAAAUGCAGAUUGCAUUGAUUUGCUCCAAGUUAUUGCAAGGUAAGAGGAAACAGUUAUCUUAGGGUAAAUCAAUAUAAUCUACAUUAAAGUACAUUGUCUCUUAGAGUGCCAGGAAAUAUUCAGUGAUCUCCAUUAUAAAAGUGGUCAUUGUGACCACCUUAUGUGGCCUGUCCUUAAAUUUAUGUCCCUUGCUCCUUAAGGUAAGCAAGAUUGUAAACUUUCUCAGAACCUAAAUUUAGUUUCCACUGAGUUUCCUCUCAGUGCUUCUAGUUUCUAGUCAGACAGGGAAUCUCACUGCUUGGUUAAUGUUAUCAUAAAGAAAUGUGAAUAUCAGAGUUCUAAAACAUCAUAUCUUUAAAGUAAGAAUGUCUUUAUAUCACUAAUAUUCCAAAAUGUAUAUGUUUAUUAUGAUUUUGGUUACUAUGAAAUCAUGGCUUUAUAAAAUAUUAGCAUCUCAAAA
rnacentral:lncRNA from 1 species